rnacentral:rRNA from 1 species
AUUAUUAUCUAUUUACUGUGAACUGUAUUAUUAUUUGACAUUUGAGGGAUGUUCCAAUGUUAUAAGGAUAGACAUUGGAAAUGUUAACCGAGUCAUAAUCAGGUUUAGGCCUGGUAUCCUAUUAUUAUUUACCAAAUGAAUUCAGAAUUAAUAUUGUAACAUAGACCUAAAAAAUCUAUAAAACAACUUUUAACAACGGAUCUCUUGGUUCUCGCAUCGAUGAAGAACGUAGCAAAGUGCGAUAACUAGUGUGAAUUGCAUAUUCAGUGAAUCAUCGAGUCUUUGAACGCAACUUGCGCUCAUUGGUAUUCCAAUGAGCACGCCUGUUUCAGUAUCAAAACAAACCCUCUAUCCAACUUUUGUUGUAUAGGAUUAUUGGGGGCCUCUCGAUCUGUAUAGAUCUUGAAAUCCCUGAAAUUUACUAAGGCCUGAACUUGUUUAAAUGCCUGAACUUUUUUUUAAUAUAAAGGAAAGCUCUUGUAAUUGACUUUGAUGGGGCCUCCCAAAUAAAUCUUUUUUAAAUUUGAUCUGAAAUCAGGCGGGAUUACCCGCUGAACUUAAGCAUAUCAAUAAGCGGAGGAAAA